CAUAUACUCCCUCCGUUCGGAAUUACUUGUCUCGGAAAUGGAUGUAUCUAGAACUAAAAUACAUCUAGAUACAUCCAUUUUUGCGACAAGUAAUUCCGAACGGAGGGAGUAUAAG
rnacentral:pre_miRNA from 1 species